UACAGAGGUGGCAAGCGUUGUUCGGAAUUACUGGGCGUAAAGGGCGCGUAGGCGGCCAUCUAAGUCAGACGUGAAAUCCCCCGGCUUAACCUGGGAACUGCGUCUGAUACUGGAAGGCUUGAGUAUGGGAGAGGGAUGUAGAAUUCCAGGUGUAGCGGUGAAAUUCGUAGAUAUUCGGAGGAACACCAGUGGCGAAGGCGGCUCACUGGUCCAUUACUGACGCUGAGGUGCGAAAGCGUGGGGAGCAAACAGG
rnacentral:rRNA from 1 species